UCUAUUUUUCUUUUUUUUCUUUUAACAAUAUAAUACUAUGACAGAUCUCUUAUAAAAUAAUAAUAAUAACGACACGCAAACGCGAUGCAUCUGAGAAAGAUAAAAAUCGACAAAAGAAAAAAAUAUAUUUAACAAAAAUUUCACAUUCUAGAAAGCUUUUACAUUUUGUCGCUAACUACCUAAUGCUAAGAAUCAAUCGAUGUAUGAUUUUAUAUUGAAUUCUUAAAUCACAAAAUCCUGUUACUUGAUUUGGUUGCUAUAAGUCUUUAAUUUUUUUAAAUAAGAAAAAAACAAUUUUAAAUAAGAAAUAAAUGAAAUACUAUACUAUACUCCACAUGAUUUGAUGAGAAUCAAAAUAUUUAUAGAAAUUGA
rnacentral:lncRNA from 1 species